UGAGGAACAUGACUUUCGGUGGGGGAGUAGCCGGCCCAACGGCCGGGUAAUACCGCGUACGACCACUUUGGGACAUCCCUCGGUGGUGAAAGCAGCAAUGCGCCGAUGGAGUGCCUCGCGGCCUAUCAGCUAGUUGGUGAGGUAACGGCUCACCAAGGCAUCGAUGGGUAGCUGGUCUGAGAGGACGAUCAGCCACACUGGGACUGAGACACGGCCCAGACCCCGUACGGGAGGCA
rnacentral:rRNA from 1 species